UUACGGCCACAUCACGUUGAAACACCGGUUCCUGUACGAUCACCGGAGUUAAGCAAUGUCGAACUUGAUCAGUAACUAAAAGGGGGACCGCUUGGGAAUAACAGGUGUGGCU